UACAUUCUUUUUAAGCGAUUCUAAUUAACGUAUUAUUAAUGAUAUAAGGAAAUGUCAAAUCUAGCUUAACGUUUAAAAAGUCUAUGGUAAUUUUUAAACUAAGGAGUUGUAAACAAAUAAGAAUAAAACAAUGAAUAGAAAAUAAAGAUAAAAAGGAAGAUAUAGUUGAAAUAUAAAUUUAUUUCUGUAUAAAGUAUAUUUAUUUAUUCUUUCAGAAAUUAUAGAAAUAGAAAUUUAAAGUGUUUUUUAAAUAAAAAAAAAGAAUGGAUCAAAUGUUACCUAGUCCUGGAUUUAGCAUUCCAAGUAUAGGUACACCUUUACAUCAACCAGAAGAGGAUCAACAAAUCUUACCUAAUGCAUUACAACAACAGCAACAACAGCAGCAGCAACAGCAACAAUCACAGCAGCAACAACAAUCACAACAGUAUCAAUUACAACAACUACAUACUAUGAGUCCAAACAUACAAAGUGGUAUGCUGAUGAUCGGAACACCACAAAAAAAUAUGCACGCCUAUGCAACAACACCUACUUUUGCAACACCACAAAGUCUUAUGCAACCCCAAACACCGCAAAAUAUGAUGUCUCCAUUAGUACAAAAUACUAAUCAUAUAGCUCCUCCAUCUAUAGGACCAUCUACACCUGGUCCUAUGACACCUAUGACACCAGCUUCUGCAGAUCCAGGAAUAUUACCUCAACUUCAGAAUAUUGUUUCUACAGUUAAUUUAAAUUGCAAAUUAGAUUUAAAAAAAAUAGCUCUUCAUGCUAGAAAUGCGGAAUAUAAUCCAAAGAGAUUUGCUGCAGUUAUUAUGAGGAUAAGAGAACCAAGAACUACUGCAUUAAUAUUUAGUAGUGGAAAAAUGGUUUGUACUGGAGCAAAGAGUGAAGAGGAUUCUCGGUUGGCAGCAAGAAAGUAUGCCAGAAUUAUUCAGAAACUUGGUUUUCCUGCAAAAUUUCUUGAUUUCAAAAUACAAAAUAUGGUAGGCAGCUGUGAUGUGAAAUUUCCAAUUAGAUUAGAAGGUUUAGUACUUACACAUGGACAAUUCUCUUCAUAUGAACCUGAACUCUUCCCUGGAUUAAUAUAUCGUAUGGUUAAACCUAGAAUCGUUUUACUUAUAUUUGUUUCAGGAAAAGUAGUGUUAACAGGAGCAAAAGUUAGACAAGAGAUUUAUGAGGCAUUCGAUAAUAUCUAUCCUAUUUUGAAGAGCUUUAAAAAGCAGUGAUUUUAUUUUUUAUUACAUGUUAAAGUUAUGUAUUAAAUGGACAAAACUAAGCAGAAGCUUCCAAAUUUAUUAUUAUGGAAUAAUGUGAAAAAUAUAGACUAUUUGGAAAGCAAUUUACCUUCUUGAUGAUAUGGUACUUUGAUUGAAAGGUAGUUAUUCUUUAGAAUUGAACUAUUAAUUUAUAUAAUGUAUAUAUUGUUAAAAUUUAUAACAAAUUUCAUUUUAUUUUAUACAUAAAAUAUGAUUUAUAUUUUUUCAAUUAAUAGAAAUAACUAAUACCUCAUUAUGCAAAUAAUUGUAAAGAGAAGAAAGAA